GGUGUUGGCGGUACGUCGCACUCCUCCACACCAGUCUUACAUGUGGGACCUGACACCGUCUGUCUCCCCCGUGUCUUCCUGCACCGAUCGAGUUCUCGCCCCUCCCCUGCGUAGUUGCCGGCGUCCCCCACACCGCGCCUCCCAUCCGCCCUAGCCGCCAACCCAGCACGCUCCGCCCCCUCCUCUCACGCGGCUGGCCCGCCACCCUUUGUUGCAGUUGACAGCGAAGAAGUAGCGAGCAGGGAGGGGAGAAAGAAGGUCACCGGGGCCGGCGAGUUGCCUUGCGGUGGGUGCGGACGGAGCAGGCUCGGGCUCCCUCCCCCUGCCCCUUGCCCCCUAUAUUUCUCAUCCGCGGAGGAAGACGCUGCCACGGAGCCGGCUUGCCUCCACAAACACCGGCGCAAUUGAGUUCGCCGCCGGCGCAUACGCCGGUGAAAUCUCCUCCACCGCGGACAGGAGAGGGCUGAGCUUGUGAGUCUCAGGGACAAUACCAAAAGAACUUAGUGAGCUGAGAUCCUUAGUAUUCAUUAUUCCAUAGCAGGAUACGAGCAUUGCACCUCUUUUGGGGAUGAAAAUCCAGUUUGGAGACGUUUGUGGAAGAUGAAAAUUCCACCCAAAAUUUGAACCUUCUGGUGGUGGCGUGUGAUUCAUGACUUUAUUUAGGUUAGAGAGGUUCUGCAUAAAAGAAACAUGGAGCCUAUGAAUACUUGCAGUGACUGCGGUGACAAGUGCUGCACGCUCACCUGGACGGCAGACUUGUCGGAUCCAUCCUUUUGCAAAACCGAUGUGGCUAGAGCCAUCUUAUGCGGCAUGUGGUCAACAUGGACAACUUGUAAUGGUCAACAUCAUGUGUCACCCCUCCUCGAUGGGAAUCGUCAGACCCAUGCUGGACAAAGAUCAAUGCUGAUGCGACCUUAUUCUUGCUGAAUGGUCAGUCAGCCUCGGAUGUUGUGUUCAGAGAAGAAAGGUUGUAUUCCUGGCUGCUAGAGCUGGGUAGCAUGCUUCCAUUCUCGAUGCCUUGACAGCUGAAACAGUAGCAUGCCGAGAUGCUCUUCAGGUUGCUUCAAAUCUGAACUUGCGCUUUGUAUACCUGCAAUCUGACUCACAAGUGCUGCUGAAUCUAUGGAACUCCAGAGCAAGUGAUAGAUCAAGUAUGAUCCCUUAAGCAGAUGGAUGAUCUUACUAGGGGUUUUUCUGGUUUUACUUUUGUUCACGUAAACAGAGACCCGAAUACACCAGCUCGUAUAACUGCAAAAUUAUCAUCUCAAACUGAUUCAGAUUGCAUCUGGUCUAACCACAUCCUAGAUUGUUUGGCAGUGUGCAUUUAGAAUGAAUGUAACCAUGUUGAUUUGAUAACAUGAGUUUGAUGUUCUAAAAAAAAUAAGGCAUGCUUUUAUUGUUAUGUUA